rnacentral:tRNA from 1 species
GACGUGGUAGCCCAACGGCAGAGGCAUCCGGUUUAAGCCCGGUAAGUCAUGGGUUCGAGUCCCACCCACGUCA